GCCCCAGUAGCUCAACGGUAGAGCAGGCGAUUUGUAAUCGCCAGGCUCCGGGUUCAAGUCCUGGCUGGGGCU
rnacentral:tRNA from 1 species